UGCCUCAGUAACGGCGAGUGAAGCGGCAAGAGCUCAAAUUUGAAAGCUGGCUCCUUCGGAGUCCGCAUUGUAAUUUGCAGAGGAUGCUUUGGGUGCGGCCCCCGUCUAAGUGCCCUGGAACGGGCCGUCAGAGAGGGUGAGAAUCCCGUCUUGGGCGGGGUGUCCGUGCCCGUGUAAAGCUCCUUCGACGAGUCGAGUUGUUUGGGAAUGCAGCUCUAAAUGGGUGGUAAAUUUCAUCUAAAGCUAAAUACUGGCCGGAGACCGAUAGCGCACAAGUAGAGUGAUCGAAAGAUGAAAAGCACUUUGAAAAGAGAGUUAAACAGCACGUGAAAUUGUUGAAAGGGAAGCGCUUGCGACCAGACUCGCCCGCGGGGUUCAGCCGGCAUUCGUGCCGGUGUACUUCCCCGUGGGCGGGCCAGCGUCGGUUUGGGCGGCCGGUCAAAGGCCCCUGGAAUGUAGUGCCCUCCGGGGCACCUUAUAGCCAGGGGUGCAAUGCGGCCAGCCUGGACCGAGGAACGCGCUUCGGCACGGACGCUGGCAUAAUGGUCGUAAACGACCCGUCUUGAAACACGGACCAAGGAGUCUAACAUCUACGCGAGUGUUCGGGUGUCAAACCCGUGCGCGCAGUGAAAGCGAACGGAGGUGGGAGCCCCCUUGCGGGGCGCACCAUCGACCGAUCCUGAUGUCUUCGGAUGGAUUUGAGUAAGAGCGUAGCUGUGGGGACCCGAAAGAUGGUGAACUAUGCCUGAGUAGGGCGAAGCCAGAGGAAACUCUGGUGGAGGCUCGCACCGGUUCUGACGUGUAAAUCGAUCGUCAAAUUUGGGUAUAGGGGCGACAGACUAGUCUAAUCAUCUGCUAGAUGGUGCCUGCCGAAGA
rnacentral:rRNA from 1 species